rnacentral:rRNA from 1 species
CCUACGGGGGGCAGCAGUGGGGAAUAUUGCACAAUGGGUGCAAACCUGAUGCAGCCAUGCCGCGUGUGUGAAGAAGGCCUUCGGGUUGUAAAGCACUUUCAGCGGGGAGGAAGGCGUUAAGGUUAAUAACCUUGGCGAUUGACGUUACCCGCAGAAGAAGCACCGGCUAACUCCGUGUCAGCAGCCGCGGUAAUACGGAGGGUGCAAGCGUUAAUCGGAAUUACUGGGCGUAAAGCGCACGCAGGCGGUCUGUCAAGUCGGAUGUGAAAUCCCCGGGCUCAACCUGGGAACUGCAUUCGAAACUGGCAGGCUAGAGUCUUGUAGAGGGGGGUAGAAUUCCAGGUGUAGCGGUGAAAUGCGUAGAGAUCUGGAGGAAUACCGGUGGCGAAGGCGGCCCCCUGGACAAAGACUGACGCUCAGGUGCGAAAGCGUGGGGAGCAAACAGGAUUAGAUACCCCAGUAGUC